rnacentral:rRNA from 1 species
GUCCACGCCCUAAACUAUGUCAACUAGCCGUUGGGAUCAUUGAAGGUCUUAGUGGCGCAGCUAACGCGAUAAGUUGACCGCCUGGGGAGUACGGCCGCAAGGUUAAAACUCAAAGGAAUUGACGGGGCCCGCACAAGCGGUGGAGCAUGUGGUUUAAUUCGAUGCAACGCGAAGAACCUUACCAGGCCUUGACAUCUAGCGAACUUUCCAGAGAUGGAUUGGUGCCUUCGGGAACGCUAAGACAGGUGCUGCAUGGCUGUCGU